CAGUCGCCGCGGGAAUACGUAUGUCACGAGCGUUAUCCGGAUUUAUUGGGCGUAAAGCGCGUCUAGGUGGUUAUGUAAGUCUGAUGUGAAAAUGCAGGGCUCAACUCUGUAUUGCGUUGGAAACUGUAUAACUAGAGUACUGGAGAGGUAAGCGGAACUGCAAGUGUAGAGGUGAAAUUCGUAGAUAUUUGUAGGAAUGCCGAUGGGGAAGCCAGCUUACUGGACAGAUACCGACGCUGAAGCGCGAAAGCGUGGGUAGCAAACAGGAUUAGAUACCCCCGUAGUCCCUGUCUCUUAUACA
rnacentral:rRNA from 1 species